rnacentral:rRNA from 1 species
ACCCGCUGAAUUUAAGCAUAUCAAUAAGCGGAGGAAAAGAAACCAACAGGGAUUGCCUCAGUAACGGCGAGUGAAGCGGCAAAAGCUCAAAUUUGAAAUCUGGCACUUUCAGUGUCCGAGUUGUAAUUUGAAGAAGGUAUCUUUGGGUCUGGCUCUUGUCUAUGUUUCUUGGAACAGAACGUCACAGAGGGUGAGAAUCCCGUGCGAUGAGAUGUCCCAGACCUAUGUAAAGUUCCUUCGAAGAGUCGAGUUGUUUGGGAAUGCAGCUCUAAGUGGGUGGUAAAUUCCAUCUAAAGCUAAAUAUUGGCGAGAGACCGAUAGCGAACAAGUACAGUGAUGGAAAGAUGAAAAGAACUUUGAAAAGAGAGUGAAAUAGGACGUGAAAUUGUUGAAAUGGAAGGG